rfam:Jatropha curcas cultivar GZQX0401 scaffold906_55, whole genome shotgun sequence.
AAGACAAGAGUCAGUCAGAGUAGCCAAAAGAGACUGCCUAUGAGCCACCAAAGAGCUCCAAUUAACUUCCAGCAAGAAAGAAGAGGCAAUAGGCAAGUCAUCCUUGGCUACCAAACAUAACUCUUCAUCU